rnacentral:rRNA from 1 species
ACUCCUACGGGAGGCAGCAGUGGGGAAUCUUCCGCAAUGGGCGAAAGCCUGACGGAGCAACGCCGCGUGAGUGACGAAGGCCCUUGGGUCGUAAAACUCUGUCUUCAAGGAAGAAAAAAAUGACGGUACCUGAGGAGGAAGCCCCGGCUAACUACGUGCCAGCAGCCGCGGUAAAACGUAGGGGGCGAGCGUUGUCCGGAAUUACUGGGCGUAAAGGGCGUGUAGGCGGUUCGCGAAGUCAGGAAUGAAAACUCGGGGCUCAACCUCGAGAUUGCUUUUGAAACCAGCGGGCUUGAGUGCAGGAGAGGAAAGUGGAAUUCCCAGUGUAGCGGUGAAAUGCGUAGAUAUUGGGAGGAACACCAGUGGCGAAAGCGGCUUUCUGGCCUGUAACUGACGCUGAGGCGCGAAAGCGUGGGGAGCAAACAGGAUUAGAUACCCUGGUAGUCCACGCCGUAAACGAUGGGUGCUAAGUGUUGGGGGUAUCGACCCCCUCAGUGCUGUAGUUAACGCAAUAAGCACCCCGCCUGGGGAGUACGGUCGCAAGACUGAAACUCAAAGGAAUUGACGGGGG